UCAUAGCAGGAACUCCUAGAACCAGAUCUUCUUAACUGUGUCUUCUUAAGCGUUGUGUUAUUCACAGACGGUUACUGUUUUACUCUGAUGCUCUUUGCAAAAAUGCUUCCUCUUUAACAAAAGUCACAACAAGGACUUUUUAACAAGCAAGCAUAGGUUUCUGAUAACUUUCAGACCACAGUGCUAAAGUGGGAAAGAAAUAAGAAUUUUAGUGGAGGAGUUCCCGUCGUGGCUCAGUGGUUAUCGAAUCCAACUAGAAACCAUGAAGUUGUGGGUUUGAUUCCUGGCUUUGCUCAGUGGGUUACGGAUCCAGCGUUGCCAUGAGCUGUGGUGUAGGCCAGCAGUUACAGUUCUAAUUCGACCCCUAGCCUGGGAACUUCCAUAUACCAAGGGUACAACCCUAAAAAGAAAAAAAUAAUAAUAAUCUGAGAUUCCUUAUAAAAAAUACCAGCAAAGUUUUUUUUUGUUUUUUGUUUUUUUUUUUAAAUGGCCUCACUGCAGCAUAUUGAAGUUCCCAGGCCAGGGACUGAAUCUAAGCCACAGCUGCAACCUAUGCAGCUGUGGUAAUACCAGAUCCUUUAACCCACUGUGCUAGGCCAGGGAUCAAAUCCCAACUCUGCAGCGACCCUAGCCACUGCAGUCAGAGUCUUAACCCACCAAACCAAGUGGGAACUCCCAAAACCAAUUUUUUUUUUAAAAAGCCUAUAUGGUCAGUUCUCUUGUGGCACAGUGAAGAACUCUGGCAUUGUCACUGCAGCAGCCUGGGUCUCUGCUGUGGUAUGGGUUUGAUGCCUGGCCCAGGAAUUUCCACUGCCAAAAAAAUAAAUAAAUUCUAGUUUUGUUAAUUGAGAUCUAUAUUUACUGCCUAACUCACUUCCCAGACAGCUCCUUGCUUUUAUAUUAUUGUAAAGUUUAAGUGAAUUAUUAAAAGGUCACUCUAAGCUUGUUUCUGAAACUUAUCUCAGUAAUCCAUCUUUGGAUAAAGAUCAGAUGCCCCAUGACCUACAACCAGAAGGUUAUGCACAGUGGAGAAGACAUCAUUUAAAGGACUAUCUCUAACCCAGAUGGAAGGACUUUUAUUAGGUACUCUUAACUAGGUCAAAAGAGAACUGGCUCUUGGAUUAAUAGUUCAACUUCAAAAGGGCCCCUGCAGUGGACUGGUCUAUGGGGAAGAAUGCCAACUUCAAAAAUCACCUUAGAAUAAUGCUCAAACUACCAGACAAGGAUGACAAGAAGAUCCCCUCACCUGGACAAUUAAUACCUGGUAUGACCCUUGCCAUAAAUACAAAUUGUCUUAUAGGGUCACUCAAGCGCAAUGAGAAAAACAAGCAAAAUUUGGGCCAAAGACUGUAACCUCCCUCAUUUGUGGGCUGAAAUCAUAUGGCUAACACCAAGCUAUGAUCAUUUAAUUUAUUUUGGGAACAGUUAAAGCAAACUAAGGAUAACCAGGCUAAUACUACUGGAAAUAGGGCUGGGUGCCUUAUGAACAAUACCAAGACAAGGAUUGGUACAGCAGAGACUGAGUCAGACGGCCUGGGGAUACACUGGGCCACAGUAACGGAAGUUCUUGGCUUAUACUCUUACUUAGGACCUUACUAAUAUUACCAGCUAUAUUACCUAUAUUCUGUCUUUUACAAGACUGUUGUUUCUUAUAUUACCGAAUGUGUGACUGGGCCCUUAAUAAAAUGAUGAUUAGGCGACCUGAAGCAGUUGACCAGAUAUCUAAUUCUUUAUGAGAUCACUGAUUGUAAAAGUGUAACUCUAGAUAUAGGAAGAAGCAACAAGAGGGAAUAUUUUCUUGGACCAUACAGACUAAUUUAGUAAGACAGGUGGUCCUUGGAGUUCCCGUCAUGGCUCAGUGGUUAACCAAUCUGACUAGGAACCAAGAGGUUGCAGGUUAGAUCCCUGGCCUUGCUCAGUGGGUUAAGGAUCCGGCGUUGCCAUGAGCUGUGGUGUAGGUCACAGACACGGCUCGGAUCCUGAGCUGCUGUGGCUCUGGCAUAGGCUGGUGGCUACAGCUCCAAUUCGACCCCUGGCCUGGGAACCUCCAUGUGCCGUGGGAGUGGCCCAAGAAAAUGGCAAAAAGACCGAAAAAAAAAAAAAAAGACAGGUGGUCCAGAGACUUUUGGCUACUGCUAAUAAGGCCUAGUCCAAUAACAGCACACUGAGUGGCCUAUAAAUGAAAUCCUUGCCUGACCUAGGAAUAAGCAUUCCUAGCACCACAGGACAAAAUGGUCAUGAAAUACUUCCCAAACCAUGGUUAAAUUUGAAGCUCUGCCAACUAAAAACUGUACUUACUAUUUGCCUCUUCAAGGAUUAGGUCACUAACCACUGCAGUUGCUGACCUUCAACACACACUGAAAGGAGUCCAGGGCAGAGAUGAGGAAUGAGGCACUCUCAUUCCUGUCAAAAAAAAAAUCCAACAAACAAAAAACUUGCAGAGGAGUCAACAGAGGAGAGCUGUGACACAGUGGGUUAAUGAUCUGGCUUGUCUCUGUGGGGGCACUGGUCUGAACCCUGGCCCGGCGCAGUGGGUUAAGGAUCCGGUGUUGCUGCAGCUGUGGUCAAAGCUCUGGCCAGAUUCGACUCCUGGUGCAGGAACUUCCACAUGCUGCAGGUGCAGCUGAAAAAGAAAACAACAACAACAACAACAACAAAAAACCCUGGCAGAACAGGCCUUCAGAUAGUUAAACAAAUUUUUCAGGAGAUUUUAUAAGCCAAGUAAUUUCUUGCAUUUUCUCAUAUCUAGAAAAGCAUUAAAAUCAUUAAUGGAGACAUCUGCUCUUUGUGACCAGCAGCAACCCUCUGCCAAAAUAUGUGCUUGAUUACAUCACAAAAUCACAUAAACACAGUCCUCCUCUGCUCCUUCUCUGGAGCAGUUCCUCAGACAGAGCUGGCGAGGAGGCCGUCUCCUGGACUACAGUCCUCAUUUUGCCCCAAAUAAAACAACUCACAAGCUCACGUUGUGUGUGUUUU
rnacentral:lncRNA from 1 species